AUUGAACGCUGGCGGCAUGCUCUACACAUGCAAGUCGAACGGUAACAGGUUAAGCUGACGAGUGGCGAACGGGUGAGUAAUGCAUCGGAACGUGCCCGAUCGUGGGGGAUAACGCAGCGGAAGCUGCGCUAAUACCGCAUACGAUCUGAGGAUGAAAGCGGGGGACCGUAAGGCCUCGCGCGAUCGGAGCGGCCGAUGUCAGAUUAGGUAGUUGGUGGGGUAAAGGCUCACCAAGCCAACGAUCUGUAGCUGGUCUGAGAGGACGACCAGCCACACUGGGACUGAGACACGGCCCAGACUCCUACGGGAGGCAGCAGUGGGGAAUUUUGGACAAUGGGCGAAAGCCUGAUCCAGCAAUGCCGCGUGCAGGAAGAAGGCCUUCGGGUUGUAAACUGCUUUUGUACGGAGCGAAAAGGCUCUCUCUAAUACAGGGGGCUCAUGACGGUACCGUAAGAAUAAGCACCGGCUAACUACGUGCCAGCAGCCGCCGUAA
rnacentral:rRNA from 1 species